rnacentral:rRNA from 1 species
UUUAAAAAGCUUCAAACUGGGAUUAGAUACCCCACUAUGCUCAGCCGUAAACCUAGAUGUUUUUUCACAACAAACAUCCGCCAGGGUACUACAAGCAUAAGCUUAAAACCCAAAGGACUUGGCGGUGCCUUAGACCCCCCUAGAGGAGCCUGUUCUAGAACCGAUAACCCCCGUUAAACCUCACCACUUCUAGUCACCCCCGCCUAUAUACCGCCGUCGUCAGCUUACCCUGUGAAGAGCCAACAGUAAGCAAAAUGGACCUAACCCAAAACGUCAGGUCGAGGUGUAGCGAACGAAGUGGGAAGAAAUGGGCUACAUUUUCUAAAUUAGAAUACUACGGAUAGCAUCAUGAAACUGAUCCUUAAAGGAGGAUUUAGUAGUAAAAAGGAAAUAGAGUGUCCUUUUGAACCCGGCUCUGAGGCGCGUACACACCGCCCGUCACCCUCUGCAGUCAA